AUGAACUUUAUGUAUGAACUUGUAUUAAUUUGGUCUAUUCGGUGUUGUAUAAUGAAGAUGAGCCGGCAAUGGAUGUACGAUGACCGAUGCUCUCCCCAGUUCGUUGAGGGCGUGCAUACUUUUCUCCUUGCGGCUGAGGCAAACAAGCGGGCGGAUGGUUUUAUGCCUUGUCCAUGUGCUCGCUAUAAGAAUGGUCACAAUUACUCUACGUCAAGAACCAUUCACCUCCACCUGUUUAAGUCCGGUUUCAUGCCCCAUUAUAAUGUUUGGACCAAGCACGAAGAAAGAGGGGUUAUGAUGAAAGACAAUGAAGAAGAAGAGGACGACGACAGCUAUCCUGGCCAUGGGUUCCCUGGAUACGAUGAUACAACAAUGGGGGAAGAAGCUGAGCCGGUAAUGCGGGAAGAAGCUGAGCCGGCAAUGCGGGAAGAAGCUGAAGAAGAGGCAUCAGAUGAGCCCGUUGAUGAUCUAGGUCGGGCCAUUGCCGAUGCAAAGAGAAACUGCGCAAGUGAUUUGGAGAAGAAGAAGUUGCAGUGCAUGUUAGAGGAUCACAAAAAAUUGUUGUACCCGAAUUGCGUAGGU
rnacentral:rRNA from 1 species